AGCGAACGCUGGCGGCAGGCCUAACACAUGCAAGUCGAACGAAGUCUUCGGACUUAGUGGCGGACGGGAGAGUAACACGUGGGAACGUACCUUUUGGUUCGGAACAACUCAGGGAAACUUGAGCUAAUACCGGAUGAGCCCUUAGGGGGAAAGAUUUAUCGCCGAAAGCGCGGCCCGCGUUAGAUUAGCUAGUUGGUGAGGUAAAGGCGCACCAAGGCUACGAUCUAUAGCUGGUCUGAGAGGAUGAUCAGCCACACUGGGACUGAGGCACGACCCAGAGUCAUACGGGAGGCAGCAGUGGGUAAUCUUGCGCAAUGGGCGAAAGCCUGACGGAGCCAUGGAGCGUGAAUGAUGAAGGUCGUAGGGUUAUAAAAUUCUUUUACCAGGGACGAUAAGGACGGUACCUGGAGAAAAAGCCCCGGCUAACUUAGUGCCAGCCGCCGCCGUAAUAC
rnacentral:rRNA from 1 species